rnacentral:rRNA from 1 species
GUACUAAGGUAGCAUAAUCACUAGCCUCUUAAUUAGAGGACUGCAUGAACGGAAAUACGAAUUAAAACUUUUUUCUUUUAAUAAUAACUAAAUUAACACUAAAGUAAAAAGGCUUUAAAUAAUUAGAAAGACAACAAGACCCUAACGAACUUUACUAACAGUUUAGCUGGGGAAGCUAUACAAGAAAAUCUUUCAAAAAAAAACUAACCAAUGAUCUAAAAUAUCUAUACACAGGAACAAGUUACCGUAGGGCUAACAGCAUUAUUUAUUACAAAAGCUCUUAUUAAAUAAUAAAAAUAUGACCUCGAUGUUGAAUUAAAUAACUAAAUUGAGAAACAUCAAUUCUAGUGAGUCUGUUCGACUAUUAAAACUUUACAUGAU